rnacentral:rRNA from 1 species
UACGAAGGGGGCUAGCGCUGCUCGGAAUCACUGGGCGUAAAGCGCACGUAGGCGGACUCUUAAGUCGGGGGUGAAAUCCUGGAGCUCAACUCCAGAACUGCCUUCGAUACUGGGAGUCUUGAGUUCGGGGAGAGGUGAGUGGAACUGCGAGUGUAGAGGUGAAAUUCGUAGAUAUUCGCAAGAACACCAGUGGCGAAGGCGGCUCACUGGCCCGAUACUGACGCUGAGACACGAAAAGCGUGGGUAGCAAACAGG